ACUCUUCCUUUUAGGGAGUGUCGAUAAAGUACAGCAGAAGCACUGGACCAAUCACUACUGCCUGUUCUACCCUUAAACCCCCCUCUCAAAAGUUUCAAAUUACAUCUCAAUGUGCAGACUUGUUCGACGACGACCCAAGAUUUCAAGACCCACAAAGUGGUAGUCCACAACGCCAUGUAAGAAAGGCUUCAUUUGCUGCAGUAACCUCACUGUGGAGGGAAAACCUGGAAAGCAAAGCAGUGGCAUCCCUCCACUACAGAGCAUGUGUGCAGGGACUGGAGUAAAAAGGAGUUUCAGGAAAAUCCACCACACCAGGGAGAGCAGAGACUCACAUAUCUGACCCAAGCUGCAAAAUGAACAGCAGGGAGUGUACGCUUUCACUUCCUGGAAGGUUUGAGGAAAAUAGAGCAGCUCCCAGUGAAACUCAAAAGCAUACAGAAACAUCAGGCUGCAGCAGAAACCGAAGCACUCCUCCGCUCAUGCAAAGCAGACACUUCUCAGUGAUUAUUUUUUUUGGCCUUUUGCCCUUAUUCUGACAGGACAGCCAAAGAGAGACAGGGAACAUGGUUGGAAAGAAUGGGGGAAGACAAACAACAAACAGCAUCGAGACCAGGAAUCGAUCCUGCAACAGGUUUGGGUUGUUGAAACUCUGCAUGCUGGUCAAAGAUUCAGAGCUCAUUAACUCCAUGAAAAUGCAGAAAAAGAGAAAAACCAUUUUCCUCAAAGUAAACCCUCACAGUGGCCUCCUCUGCUCUUACCUUGUGUCAGUCUCUCCGUUUGAUGGAUGGAAGAAAGGCAGGCGAGGAGGUGGCAAUCCAGAGGCACAGGCUUCAGGUGUGAACAGGUGUGCGGGUUCACUGCAGUGCUGGAAUGGGAGCAGUUCCAGGUGCACAGCUGCGGGGUGGGGCUCACACUUGCACAUACUCCCAGCCUGGCGGCCUGUGUUGAAAUACUGAGUCCCUGGGAAGGGGGGAGUGGGGCUUCCAGGUAAAUUUUAUUUCACACUGUCAUAACUUUGAAGAGGGGAAAAUGAGGAAGAAGGAGGUUAGGGUGCAUGUGAGGAGGAUUUAAUCCUGAGGAAGGAAAGAUUUUUGGACUAUUCCUGUACAUGUGGGCUUUUUCUGUGUGCUGUGGAUUUCUAUGUGUAGGCGUGAGAGAUCUGUGUAUAUUUAAGAAUCAGCAGCAUGACAAAGAGUGGCAUUUGGGAGGUUGCAAGAC